rnacentral:rRNA from 1 species
AGCGGCAGCGCGGGGGCAACCCUGGCGGCGAGCGGCGAACGGGUGAGUAACACAUCGGAACGUACCCCGUCGUGGGGGAUAACGAGUCGAAAGAUUCGCUAAUACCGCAUACGACCUGAGGGUGAAAGCGGGGGACCUGCAAGGGCCUCGCGCGAUGGGAGCGGCCGAUGUCCGAUUAGCUAGUUGGUGGGGUAAGAGCCUACCAAGGCGACGAUCGGUAGCUGGUCUGAGAGGAUGAUCAGCCACACUGGGACUGAGACACGGCCCAGACUCCUACGGGAGGCAGCAGUGGGGAAUUUUGGACAAUGGGCGCAAGCCUGAUCCAGCCAUUCCGCGUGAGUGAAGAAGGCCUUCGGGUUGUAAAGCUCUUUCGGCCGAAAGAAAUCGGGCAGGUGAAUAAUCUGCCUGGAUGACGGUACCGGAAGAAGAAGCACCGGCUAACUACGUGCCAGCAGCCGCGGUAAUACGUAGGGUGCGAGCGUUAAUCGGAAUUACUGGGCGUAAAGCGUGCGCAGGCGGCUUUGUAAGACAGGUGUGAAAUCCCCGGGCUUAACCUGGGAAUGGCGCUUGUGACUGCAAGGCUUGAGUUCGGCAGAGGGGGGUGGAAUUCCACGUGUAGCAGUGAAAUGCGUAGAGAUGUGGAGGAACACCGAUGGCGAAGGCAGCCCCCUGGGUCGCGACUGACGCUCAUGCACGAAAGCGUGGGGAGCAAACAGGAUUAGAUACCCUGGUAGUCCACGCCCUAAACGAUGUCGACUAGGUGUUGGGGAAGGAGACUUCUUUAGUACCGUAGCUAACGCGUGAAGUCGACCGCCUGGGGAGUACGGUCGCAAGAUUAAAACUCAAAGGAAUUGACGGGGACCCGCACAAGCGGUGGAUGAUGUGGAUUAAUUCGAUGCAACGCGAAAAACCUUACCUACCCUUGACAUGCCAGGAACCUUGCUGAGAGGUGAGGGUGCCCGAAAGGGAGCCUGGACACAGGUGCUGCAUGGCUGUUGUCAGCUCGUGUCGUGAGAUGUUGGGUUAAGUCCCGCAACGAGCGCAACCCUUGUCGCUAAUUGCCAUCAUUCAGUUGGGCACUUUAGCGAGACUGCCGGUGACAAACCGGAGGAAGGUGGGGAUGACGUCAAGUCCUCAUGGCCCUUAUGGGUAGGGCUUCACACGUCAUACAAUGGUCGGUACAGAGGGCUGCUAACCCGCGAGGGGGCGCUAAUCUCGCAAAGCCGAUCGUAGUCCGGAUUGCAGUCUGCAACUCGACUGCAUGAAGUCGGAAUCGCUAGUAAUCGUGGAUCAGCAUGUCACGGUGAAUACGUUCCCGGGUCUUGUACACACCGCCCGUC